UACGAAGGGGGCUAGCGUUGCUCGGAAUCACUGGGCGUAAAGGGUGCGUAGGCGGGUCUUUAAGUCAGGGGGGAAAUCCUGGAGCUCAACUCCAGAACUGCCUUUGAUACUGAAGAUCUUGAGUUCGGAAGAGGUGAGUGGAACUGCGAGUGUAGAGGUGAAAUUCGUAGAUAUUCGCAAGAACACCAGUGGCGAAGGCGGCUCACUGGCCCGAUACUGACGCUGAGGCACGAAAGCGUGGGGAGCAAACAGG
rnacentral:rRNA from 1 species